UACGUAGGGUCCGAGCGUUGUCCGGAAUUACUGGGCGUAAAGAGCUCGUAGGUGGUUUGUCGCGUUGUUCGUGAAAACUCACAGCUUAACUGUGGGCGUGCGGGCGAUACGGGCAGACUUGAGUACUGCAGGGGAGACUGGAAUUCCUGGUGUAGCGGUGGAAUGCGCAGAUAUCAGGAGGAACACCAGUGGCGAAGGCGGCGAUCUGGGAAGAUACUGACGCUGGAGGUGCGAAAGCGUGGGGAGCGAACAGG
rnacentral:rRNA from 1 species